rnacentral:rRNA from 1 species
UACGAAGGGAGCUAGCGUUGUUCGGAAUCACUGGGCGUAAAGCGCACGUAGGCGGAUGUGUCAGUCAGGGGUGAAAUCCCGGAGCUCAACUUCGGAACUGCCUUUGAUACAGCACGUCUUGAGUCCGGAAGAGGUGGGUGGAAUUCCUAGUGUAGAGGUGAAAUUCGUAGAUAUUAGGAAGAACACCGGUGGCGAAGGCGGGUCUCUGGGCCGAUACUGACGUGAGACGCGAAAGCGUGGGGAGCGAACAGG